rnacentral:lncRNA from 1 species
CUAGAGUUGUUUGAAAUUAUCUGAAUUAUGUUGAUUCACUAUGUUAUGACUGGUUUUGCUCUUUGUAGACAUGACAACAAAUAGAGAUGUUGCAGAUUAGGCUACUGGUCAUGGUCAUAGUCGUGGUAGAGUAAGGGCUUCUUCUGGUACUCCUAGGAAUUCUGGAUCCUCUCCCUCUACUCCAACUACUCUAGUGACGUCCCAAGUUGCGAGUUUAUUGGACCAGCCGCUCAUCAUGGUCCAUAACCCCAACUACGUCCCUCAGUCUACAGCGAUGCCGCCGCCUCCAUCCGCUUAGCAGCCCAAUGCCACGGCAACGCCGCCUCCAGCGAUGGACACCGCAACCCCAGAAUCCUCUCACGAAAGUGAGCCAACUAAUGCCCCUCUUCUACCUCCCAUUGUACGGUUGACAAUUUGUCCUAAUGGCAGAUCAUAGUAAGUAUCAUUUUAAGUCUUCUAUAUACUGAAAGUAUU